rnacentral:tRNA from 1 species
GUUCUUGUAGUUGAAUUACAACGGUGGUUUUUCAAGCCGUUAGUCUUGGUUAAAAUCCUGGCAGGAACU